rnacentral:tRNA from 1 species
GGUUGGAGCCGGUUGGGUACCCGCACUGUAAAUCCGUCGCGAAAGCUUCGGAGGUUCGAAUCCUCUACCCGCCA